CAUCUCCCUUACACUGAGAAGUUGUUCAUGCAAAUUGAACUACCCUG
rnacentral:tRNA from 1 species